UAAAUAUUGCUUCAUCCCCAUCCGCAAAAUGCACCUCUAAUUCAACACAUACAACAAAUCGACCAAAUAGAUAGAAUGAUGGGAAAUGAGUUUACUCAGUAGCGGCAAAAGCAAAGUUAUAGGUUCGAUUCUGCCAGCUAAUCUCUUCAUUAACUCAGAAGAGGGAGCUGUGAAUCCUCAUAGCAAACCCUAAAUUCCCAAAAUAAUUGACUAAGAUUACUCAUAAUUUUAAGAAAUUGAAAAUGGAGAUAGAGAUUACUCAGUAGUGGCUAAAAAAUUAUAGGUUCGAUUCUGCCAGCUAAUUUCCUCAACCUUAAAUCAGAAGAGGGAGCUGAAAAUCCUCAUUGUAAUCUCAACCGCCAAAAAUUUCAAGACAAAAAUAUCAAAAUCAAUAGAACGAUUAG
rnacentral:lncRNA from 1 species